rnacentral:rRNA from 1 species
GGGUGAGUAAAGCUUAGGAAUCUGCCUAUUAGUGGGGGACAACAUUCCGAAAGGGAUGCUAAUACCGCAUACGUCCUACGGGAGAAAGCAGGGGACCUUCGGGCCUUGCGCUAAUAGAUGAGCCUAAGUCGGAUUAGCUAGUUGGUGGGGUAAAGGCCUACCAAGGCGACGAUCUGUAGCGGGUCUGAGAGGAUGAUCCGCCACACUGGGACUGAGACACGGCCCAGACUCCUACGGGAGGCAGCAGUGGGGAAUAUUGGACAAUGGGGGGAACCCUGAUCCAGCCAUGCCGCGUGUGUGAAGAAGGCCUUAUGGUUGUAAAGCACUUUAAGCGAGGAGGAGGCUACUAGUAUUAAUAGUACUGGAUAGUGGACGUUACUCGCAGAAUAAGCACCGGCUAACUCUGUGCCAGCAGCCGCGGUAAUACAGAGGGUGCGAGCGUUAAUCGGAUUUACUGGGCGUAAAGCGUGCGUAGGCGGCUAAUUAAGUCAAAUGUGAAAUCCCCGAGCUUAACUUGGGAAUUGCAUUCGAUACUGGUUAGCUAGAGUAUGGGAGAGGAUGGUAGAAUUCCAGGUGUAGCGGUGAAAUGCGUAGAGAUCUGGAGGAAUACCGAUGGCGAAGGCAGCCAUCUGGCCUAAUACUGACGCUGAGGUACGAAAGCAUGGGGAGCAAACAGGAUUAGAUACCCUGGUAGUCCAUGCCGUAAACGAUGUCUACUAGCCGUUGGGGCCUUUGAGGCUUUAGUGGCGCAGCUAACGCGAUAAGUAGACCGCCUGGGGAGUACGGUCGCAAGACUAAAACUCAAAUGAAUUGACGGGGGCCCGCACAAGCGGUGGAGCAUGUGGUUUAAUUCGAUGCAACGCGAAGAACCUUACCUGGUCUUGACAUAGUGAGAAUCCUUUAGAGAUAGAGGAGUGCCUUCGGGAAUUCACAUACAGGUGCUGCAUGGCUGUCGUCAGCUCGUGUCGUGAGAUGUUGGGUUAAGUCCCGCAACGAGCGCAACCCUUUUUCCUUACUUGCCAGCAUUUUCGGAUGGGAACUUUAAAGGAUACUGGCCGGUGACAAACUGGAAGGAAGGCGGGGAACAACG